rnacentral:pre_miRNA from 13 species
UGGCCCCUGUUGCACCCGGGGCUCAACCACAGAUGUCCAGCCACAAUUCUCGGUUGGCCGCAGACUCGUACAAGAAUUGCGUUUGGACAAUCAGUGGCGAAGCUCCUGAGUUCAGGGCCCUGGGC